UACAGAGGCCUCGAGCGUUAGGCGGAAUCACUGGGCUUAAAGCGUGUGUAGGCGGACCCCUAAGUACCUUGUGAAAUCCCACGGCUCACCCGUGGAACGGCUGGGUAUACUGGGUGUCUUGAGCCACUCAGGGGCGAGCGGAACAAAUGGUGGAGCGGUGAAAUGCGUAGAUAUCAUUUGGAACGCCAAUGGUGAAAACAGCUCGCUGGGGGUGUGCUGACGCUGAGACACGAAAGCCAGGGGAGCGAACGGG
rnacentral:rRNA from 1 species